ACGGAGGAGGAGCAAAAUAAAUGACAGAUUUCAGAGGUUGAGAGAACUCAUUCCUCAUGGCGACCAAAAGAGAGACAAGGCGUCAUUCCUUUUAGAGGUCAUCGAGUACAUUCAGUUUUUGCAAGAGAAAGUACAAAAAUACGAAGGGUCAUACCAAGGAUGGAACCAUGCACCUGCAAAAUUGGUGCCAUUGAGAAACGGUAACAGGCCUUCAGAAAGUUACGUCGAUCAAUCUCGAGGCAUGAAUAGUGGUGCUGGUCCUGCGUUCCUGUUCGCUGCAAAGGUAGACGAGAAAAACAUCGCACUCUCUCCAACCAUUCCCAGAAGUACACGGAACCCAGUAGAGUCUGACAUAAAAUCGGACACUGCCUUUAAACUGCUGGAUCACCAUCCUGAAAUAACAAAUAAAGCAAUGCCUUUUCCUACAUCACUGCAGCCAAACUUCUUCAGUUCUUGUAGAACUGGUGGUGCAGUGGCUCAAGUUCCACCUAGGAUGGUUUCAGAUGCCGAGAAUAUGACAAGUCAACCUCAAUCCCAAUCACAUCAGAUCAGAUCAUGUGCCAAUGACGGAGCUGUUGCCAUUGAUAAGCUGAAAGAACAGGAGCUCAGCAUUGAAGGUGGUGCCAUUAACAUCUCAAGUUUGUACUCUCAAGGAGUUCUGGAGUAGAUUUGUCACAGGCCAGCAUCUCAGUUCAAAUUGAGCUGGGAAAGCGAGCAAAUGGAAGAGCAAUUAUUCCAGCAUCUAUUGUUAAGGUCUACAGGCAAAGCCUUAGCAUUACUUUCAAAAAAUACCCUUUUUAUCUAUGAUGUUAUGUGAACUUUAAUCUGUAUCAGAUUUCCAUUUCAUAUAACCAUGGAAAGCUGAGCUAAUAUUUGUUUUUCUUCUCGCCAUAGGAUAAUCAAAUUCCCUCUAGCAACCAAGGUACAAUACGGCCAAGAGUCUCAAGCGGAGGGGAAUGCCAUGAAGCCCUAAAGAAGCUCAAGACAAGUAAAAGUUAGUACGAAAGUUUCUUAAUAUUCUUUUUUUGACUUUAUUCUUUUUUUUUUUUAUAUAUAUAUAUACUUUUGUGUCAUCAUGGGAGUUUAUUCAUGUCUUCUCCUGGUUUAUAAACUACCCAGUUGAGACCGAGACGAUUGUACAUGUAACUGUUUUGUGUUUGUUGGGAGCACAGAGUUCCUAACGAACAAAUUUGUACUAUUCAUUUUCUAUUUUUGUGUAUCAUCAUAUGGGCUUCCACAUUCCAACGCUGAGAAGCUGCUUUUCAUUAACAUUCCAUUCAUGUGAUGUUUCCAAAAUCCAAAUAUUAAAAAAAAAAAACUGUCUUCCUCUCAAAUGCUUAAAAAAUUAUGAAAAUUUAGAAAUUAUGAAAAAUUUUACUAACAAAAAAUCCUUAUUUUACUUUAACAGAGUGUUAGUUAAUUAGUUAAAAGUUUA
rnacentral:misc_RNA from 1 species